rnacentral:rRNA from 1 species
CCUACGGGAGGCAGCAGUGAGGAAUAUUGGGCAAUGGGCGCGAGCCUGAACCAGCCAAGUAGCGUGAGGGAAGACUGCCCUAUGGGUUGUAAACCUCUUUUGUCAGGGAGCAACGCCGGCUACGUGUAGCCGGACUGAGAGUACCUGAAGAAAAAGCAUCGGCUAACUCCGUGCCAGCAGCCGCGGUAAUACGGAGGAUGCGAGCGUUAUCCGGCUUGAUUGGGUGUAAAGGGGGCGUAGGCGGAAUGCCAAGUCAGCGGUAAAAUCGCGGGGCUCAACCUCGCUCCGCCGUUGACACUGGCGUUCUUGAGUGGGCGAGAAGUAUGCGGAAUGCGUGGUGUAGCGGUGAAAUGCAUAGAUAUCACGCAGAACUCCGAUUGCGAAGGCAGCAUACCGGCGCCCAACUGACGCUGAAGCACGAAAGCGUGGGUAUCGAACAGGAUUAGAUACCCUGGUAGUC